rnacentral:lncRNA from 1 species
AAAUUCUACUAUAAAAGGCAUGUAAUUUGAGAACUAUAUUUGCUUCUUUACUUUAUUAUUGACAUUAUAAUAAAAUUAUAUUAUUACAUUAAUUAUAUUCUCACGAUCUUUUUCUUAUUGCAAAACCUUUCAAUACACCCCGUAUUUAUAUUUUUAAAACGAUGGCUUUUUCUUCCAUUAAUUGUUAUUUCAUGCACAUAUACAUUUACAUAAAUGCUCAUCAGUAGAACCUGCUCAUUCUGUGCAAAUACAGGUAUUAAUAUUAUUUCUCCAUCAUCAAGGAGUGUAUUAGCUUCUAUAGGUCUAAAAAACAGGACCAAAAACGUGACCACAGAAAGCAUUAUUUUCAGGUUUUUAAAAUAUUACGUAUCACAAUCUGAUCCUUUGGCUCUUCUUUUCAAAGAAAUCACUCCAGGAAACUUACAAACCGCUGAUAAAUUCAUCUUUUUGGUUAACAAACAAAUCAGCAGAUUACUGACUAAAAUGCACAGCAGUGCUUUAAAAUAACCACACCCAUGUUCCCAUCUUGCUGCUCAAGGACACCACUGUUAAAAACUGGUGUGACAGGAAAGGAUACAAUAAGGCAUGGAGUAAAAAGUACUAAGUACUAAGUAAAAGUAAUAAGGCAUGGAGUAAAAAGGUACAGGUAAAAACGAAUACUUUAGGCCUAAUUUGUUUUUCUGCACAAAUAUGAAAAUAUGUACCUUCUUCAAAAUAAAAUAAGAAAGAAUUACAUAACUUUUUGUUAUGAAAUACCUAUACAAAAAUGUUAAACUUUCCACCAUCUGUGCUGCCAAGAAAGAUUUAAAAAGUACAUUUCUUCCUCCAUAUAUAAACCUUCCUCUCAUCAGCAGGUCCAUUAGAACUUGGGUUCAGAAUAUCCAGCAUUCAGUGAAGGGAAGAGGGCCAGAAUCUACCUUCUGGCUUUUUCUAACCCCAACACAAGACAAAAGUGAAGGUCAGAUGUUGACAGUAGUGACAUCAUUGUACUUAUGAUGAACUAUAUGCUCGCCUCCCUCCUGACUCAGCUCUGAUGAGUGUAGCAUCGGGCUGUGCCUACUCCAUAGGCCUGUGCCACCUGGGUAACACCAAAAAGACAAAAGAAAAGCAUCGAAAGACAAAACUAGUUCAGAAAUUCAGUAGAUCAAGAUCUUGUGUAUUACAGAAGGAUGACUGUUGCUAAAGAAAGCUUUAAAGGUUUUAUAUCCAAAUAAAAGACCACAAUAAAGCAAAAUCGUAUUACUGUACCUUACAUGCUAUUUUCUAAUCACUUGUACACUCAUGUUUUUUAAUUAAUAUAUAAUUUUGUUCUGUUUUUAUAAUUCUCUGUUUUGAAUCAAGGUUGUCACCCAUAGAAGACAAGCCUUCUACCACUGAACUUCAGCACCAACCAUGUUUUUGACAUCUCAUUAUUAAUUGUAAAGCUAUCUAUUGUUGGUCCUCUGCUAUAUUCUUUAUGAUAGAGUUUGGCCCUAUAUUACCCAAUUUUCAGCAGUGAAGAGGCAAAGAUGAGAAUAGGAUUACACACCCACAAAAGGCUUUUCCAGAAUUGAUUACUAUGUAUUCCCUCAAGACCAAUAAAUACAACAUUCUGAUUUUCCAUCAUAGCAAUUAAGGAUAACAUGAGGGAGAAUGUAGGUUGUUAUGCGAUUGGCUACCAUAGACUUUGGAUGCUCUCAUUGGCAGGCUCCUUAGUGAUGGCAUUCAACAACUGUGUGUUAUAGCUAAAAAUUUACAAAAUCUUUCUUAUUGUACUUAUUUGGAAUAAAGGCACUAUUAUUAAAAUGAUAGUAUAAAAUUCAACAUAACUAUAACUAAUUCAUCUUUUAUUUGGCAUAACUGGUGAAAAUCAAUGUUGUGUCUGCCACUGUUAGAUGACAGGAAGUGAGGACAUACAUACACAGACUGUGUGUUUGUACAGCUUAUAGUUUGGUAGGGAAAAAGUUGAUAGAUAAAGGGUGAAAAGUCAGUAUCAGUUGGUGACUUACUAUAUUUAAGGCUUGGUUUUGCCUGUGAUUUUGUGUCAUUUCUCAGUCUACUAUCCACGAAUUACUUUUUAAUAUUUUCUUCUAUUUAACUAUCCAGAUUGUACAUAGUAGUGUAGCUGACUGAGAAACUGGGAUAUAGGUGAAAUACAGGGCCAAGCAGUUUUAUGUGCAUGCAUGUGUGCCUGUGGUGUGUGUGUGUGUGUGUGUGUGUGUGUCUGUGUGUGUGUGUCUGUGUCUGUGUCUCUAUGUGUGUCUGUGUCUGUGUUGAUGAUCAUGUGUACCUGCAGAUGUGAAUUUUUGUGUGUGUACAUGCAUGUAGAGCCCAAGAUCCAACAUUUGCUGAUUUUCUCUUUCUCUCCAUCUUCCUUUUUGAGACAGGCCCCAUCACCAAAUCCAGAGCUCACUGAUUGGUAAGACACUAGUUCAUGAACUCUUUGUAUUUGUGUGACUCUGAUCCUGCAGAGCUGACACAGAGCUGAAACAUGCAAAGCCUUGCCCUGAGCUUUCAUGGAUGUGCUGAGGUUUGGCACUCAGGUUCUUAAGGCUUGUACUGCAGAAAUGCUGCAACCUAACUCAUCUUGCCAGCACCUG